GACGUAGGGGGCCAGCGUUGUUCGGAAUUACUGGGUGUAAAGGGUUCGUAGGCGGUGCGGCAAGUCGGGAGUGAAAUCUCUGGGCUUAACCCAGAGGCUGCUUCCGAAACUGCUGUGCUUGAGUGUGGGAGAGGCGCGUGGAAUUGCAGGUGUAGCGGUGAAAUGCGUAGAUAUCUGCAGGAACACCCGUGGCGAAAGCGGCGCGCUGGACCACUACUGACGCUGAGGAACGAAAGCUAGGGGGAGCAAACAGG
rnacentral:rRNA from 1 species